rnacentral:snoRNA from 18 species
CGGCGGCUGAGAGCCCCGGAGGGGCCCGGUGAGCGCCGCAGUCGGUCCCCCUUGUACA